rnacentral:lncRNA from 1 species
AGGGGGUUUGAAUCGGACUAUCUUCUUUCCGGCAAAGUUUGUAAGAACCUAAAAUCAUGUAAAUGUAAAUAAACUAUAUGUCUAAAAAUAUCAUUAAAUAGUUUUAAAAUACAAAAAUAAAACCUGCGCGGGUGCGCGGAUCAAAAUCUAGUUUAGGUUAUAGCUGUAAAAUAUGUGUGAAUGCAAUUAGGCUUUUAUAUAUGCAAAUAUAUCAGUGGUUUAUGUCCAUCUUUCCUACAAUAGUUAUAAAAAUAUCUAAAUUAUUAAAAAGCUGUCUCAGAUCGAUUAUAGAAUUAACAAGAAACAAAUGUCU